UACGGAGGGAGCUAGCGUUGUUCGGAAAUACUGGGCGUAAAGCGUGCGUAGGUGGUUUGUUAAGUCUGUUGUGAAAGCCCCGGGCUCAACCUGGGAAUGGCAAUGGAUACUGGCAAGCUAGAGUGCGGUAGAGGGUAGUGGAAUUCCCGGUGUAGCGGUGAAAUGCGUAGAGAUCGGGAGGAACACCAGUGGCGAAGGCGGCUACCUGGACCAGCACUGACACUGAGGCACGAAAGCGUGGGGAGCAAACAGG
rnacentral:rRNA from 1 species